rnacentral:rRNA from 1 species
UACAGAGGUCUCAAGCGUUGUUCGGAUUCAUUGGGCGUAAAGGGUGCGUAGGUGGCGAGGUAAGUUCGAUGUGAAAUCUCCGAGCUCAACUCGGAAAUGGCAUUGAAUACUAUCCCGCUUGAGGGUCGGAGGGGAGACUGGAAUUCUCGGUGUAGCAGUGAAAUGCGUAGAUAUCGAGAGGAACACCAGUGGCGAAGGCGAGUCUCUGGACGACUCCUGACACUGAGGCACGAAAGCUGGGGGAGCAAACAGG